rnacentral:lncRNA from 1 species
GGGUGGUGACUUGUGGUAGUAGACUGGUGGUUGGGGUGAUGGAGAAGGUAGUGGUGGGGAUUUGUAGAGGUAUGGUGGAAGAGGAGAUGGAGAUGGAGGAGGUGAGGACUUGUAAUAGGAUGGAGAAGGUGGUGGUGGUGAUUUGUAGUAGUAAGGAGGAGGUGGGGAAGGAGAUGGUAGAGGUGGGGACUUAUAGUAAUAAGGAGGUUGAGGAGAUGGUGAUGGAGGAGGAGGUAAUUUAUAGUCGUAGUGAGGAGGGGGUGAUGGUGAAGGUAGUGGUGGUGACUUGUAGUAAUACCACGGAGGAAGAGAUGGAGAUGGAGCCAGAGGUGACAGCGGUGGUAGUGAUUUGUAGUAAUAAGGAGGCAGUGAUGAUGGAAAAGGUGGGAGCGGUGGCAGUGAUUUAUGGUAAUAAGGAGGUAGUGAUGAUGGAAAAGGUGGGAGCGGUGGCCGUGAUUUAUAGUAAUAAGGAGGUAGUGAUGAUGGAAAAGGUGGGGAUGCAAAAGUAUUAGGAUUGUAAGGCUCGUCUUCAGCAGCUACAUUAGCGGCAAUCAAGCACAAAGCCAAGACACAAAUCAGGUGAGGCCAAAAAUUGGCCAUUUCCAGAACACGAGAAAAUUUCACUCCUACAACUCAAGAACUUCUAUUUCUUAGAACAGAAGGGAUUUUGUGAAUGAUGCUUCAAGGUAGAGGCUCAGAGUUUAUAUAGUCAUCCUUUCCAUAAUUCUUUCAUUUGUUUAAUUAGUAGUUGUUGAAGCCUCCAAUCUUUAACAAGUCUACAACUAAAUGGUAUUCCCCUAUUUUCUAUGUGUUACCUGCACAUCUGUCCAUGAAAAGUCAAGAAGAUUAGUAAACAUAUAUAUACAAGAGUGCAUUUCAGUUUUGGUUGUUGGGAGCCUAGAAGCUUCCCCAUAUAUUAUGUCAAAUGUGACUGCCAUCUUUAAGAAUUUACCAUGGAAAACUCAACAUAAAAUAUUACUAUGAAGCAUGUCUACCAAGCAAAAAGCUAGGGCUAUUAGAUCUCCUUCUACCAUAACUUCCUGUUUUUCGAAAAUUUGUCAUACAUUGAAACCUUUUUCAAAACAACAAAAAGAUUUAAUAUUGCAAAUAAUUUACGGGCAUUAAUUAGGAAGGUAAUGCACUAAUAAACCUAAAAUCAAUGCCAAUUUUUCUAGAAAGGCAUCGUUGUCUUUCAAUAACUUCUUAAGCUAGCUAUUUAAUAUUAUAGGACGACUAGGUCUAUGAAUGAGAUCAUCAUAUGCAUUUUCAAUAACAAGUAAUGGACCCUUGUUUUUCCAUUGGAUUUGAGUAACGAUGAAAGUUCUUUAGGAAAAGGAAAGAAACAUAAUUAAUCUCUUAAAUUUCUUCUUCAUGCAUGUUGCUAGAUAAAGGAUUGAUGGGGCAAGCAACAAAGGGAGAUUAUUUAAAGAGAUUUUGUAAUAACUACUUUGGAAUUGGGAGUUGUAGAAAGUGGAAGAGAAAAUGUUCAAGGAAUAGUUCAUUCCUCAAAUGUUCAUCCAUUCCUUUGUAUAGGGUUUUGCCUUUAAAUAUCAACAAAACUGCUCAAGGUGUAUUUGAUAGUAAUUUUAGAAAGUAUUUUUAACCUUUAUAAUACUUAAAAAAAAAAAAAAUUGUUAAGUGUCAAAAAUAUUAAAAACACAUCUUAAAAUCACUACUAAACGGACUCUUAAAAGUUCAUAUGAAAUUAAUCAAAUUAGAUAAGGACAGGUUCUAACCUGUGGACAUAUAUGUAGAACUAAGGUCUUAGAACCGGUGAUGAUGAGAUUGCAAUCACAACUCACAACCAAAUAUCAUACAUACUUGAAAGAAACAAAUUGGAAGGAAAUCUAUUUCAAUAUGAAUUAUAAAGUGUUUUUGUGGUUAAUAUAAAAAAUAAUGACACUACAUGCAACUUACAUAUGUACUUGCUUUAUAUGCUAACGACAUUAUUUAUAUGCUAGAUAUUAACUAGACACCAUCAAUCAAGUCUAUAUAUAUAUAUAUAUUAUUAUUUAUAUCUUUAUACUUUGAUCUCAUUUGUUUAUUUCUUCGUUCAACAACACAAAUCUCAUCAUGCAUGUUUAAUGAUCCGGAUUUAGAGCUCAAUAGAUAUCACUAGGGUAGCUUAGGAUUUUCUUACCUAAAAUUACUAUAAGAAGUACUCAAGGAAAAAGAAAAUGAAUGAUCUAAAAGUGGAUCCCUUGCAACACUUCAAGGAGUCGAGAUUUGUACUUGGUUGGGCUUGGAAUUCUAAUAAUCCUAGUUGGCUGGGCACUUGGCUUUCUAAUAAUUCUAGUUGUCGCAUUAACGGAAACUGUUUGUAACUCAACAGUAUGGACAAUUGAAAUGUUUAUGGAGUAUUGUUAAUCAAAGCUGCCAUGGGAAAAUCUUUUGUUUGAAGCCCUUCACUGGAAUAUUCAAUAAAUAUAGCUAGCGCCACUUUCCCUCAGAAAUAAUUCCCCCCAAUACCUUAAAUGGUAUGCUUAAUUUCUUAUUCACUUUUACACACCUAUUCAUCUUAAUUACCAAAUGCACCCACUUUCUGUUUUUUUUUUCUUUUAACUCAUUAAUGUUUUAAAAAAAAUUGGUAUUAAUCAAAUAUUAAUUUUAAAAUUUUUAAUUAUUUUAAAAAAUUAUCAUAUCGGUUAAGAAAUUUAAUGCAUUAGCUCUCACUUGAUUUGAAAUAUGUUUGUCUAAUGAUAGAACUUGAAAAUUAUAUAGUUACACGCACAUAAAAAAUUGGCCAAGCCAUUGUAGACCGGUUUUGUUCCAACAAAUUCUAGUAUUAAUUGGCUCGAAUCAAGUUCUAAAUGAUUUUUAAAAUUUAUUAAACUUAUUAAGGAAUCCAAUGCAUCAAAUUGGAUUUAGAAGAUGACACAUCUCAAAGCAAAACAAUAGGGAAAGGUAUAAUAAAUCACAAAUUCAAUGUUAUAAAUAUCAAAAAUUAAACUGGAAUAAUCUCAAAUGACAAAAAUUAAGAAGAUUCUAUAGAUAAGGAAAUAAAAGCAAUAACAAAACAUAAUACAUUGAAACUAAAAUCCUUUCCAAAAGAGAAAAAGGCAAUUGGAGGAAAAUGGGUAAACAAUGAGUCAAAUCCUAUUUUUUGAAAACAACCAAAGGUUUAUAAAAUAAUAAUAAAUAAAUAAAUAAAAUGAAAUAAAAUAAAAUAAAUAAGAUCUCCUUUAAGACUAAAUGAUUCCAUUGAAUUGAGUAUGAUUGUGUGUGUGAUAGCAUCAACAGUACUAAGAAUAUCAAUGACCUUUUGGCAACCAACCUUCAAAAUAUAAAGGGGAAAGAUGUGCAAAGAAGAAUGUAAAAGGAGAAAUAUUAGAGAGACACAAAGUAAGAUUAGUGGUUAAGGGUUACAAGCAUCAACUUGUAAACAACAAAUUAGCAAUUGCACUAUCAAAAAAUCCAAUUUUAUAUGUUUGAAACAAGAUAUCAAUACAAAAUAUCAUUUUAUUAGAGAGUGCAUAAUGAAGAAGAAAGUAUAAUUAAAUUUGCAAAAUCUCAAGAUUAAAUUGCAAAUAUUUUUACCAAACCUCUCAAGUUUAAAAAUUUUAGAAAGUUAAGUAUAUUACUUGGAGUUACAAAUAAAGUUUAAGGGGGAUAUUGGAAAGUUAAACUUGAUUUAGAAAGUUUCCAAAACUUAGAACUAGAUUUAGUCUCCACAAUUCAAAGAUAAUAUUUUAUUUUCAAUGGUUGUUUAUAUUUGAGUAGUCAAGUCCUAGAAGGUUAAUUUCUAUAUUUUGUUAUUAGAAUUUUCUAUUUUGUUAAGUGUAAAUAUCUAUAAAUAAGAUUUUAUGUAAUAUUUGAAUAAGAAAGUGUGAAGAUGAAUCUCACCUAUGGAUAACAGCUAGAGGGGGCUAAAUAGAUGUUUUUUAAAACAACUUAAGAUGGUAUCUCACAAAUGCUUACAAAUCCCUUAUUUUUCUCAAAUGUUUUGGUUUGUUUUUUUUUAUCUUAUUAAAAAAAAAACAAAUCAUAAGUAAUAAUGGAUGCAUCAACACUCUCUCAUUAAGUGAGUCAAUGCAAAUCACAUACAAAUGAAUCAACACUCCUCAACUAUAAUGUAUAAGACAUUAUAUGCAUCGACACAAAUCCCAUUUUCGCAUGUCCCAUGACAUUAAUAUCAAAAACUGAAAUAUACCAUAUUCUAUCAAAGCUUCAAUGGUUUAAUUUAAGCUCAUAUCUCAAUUAAACAACAAAAUAAUUCAAUAGAAAUAUCAUAAGCUAAUGAAAAACUAAUUAAAAGAUGAGGUAGAAUAGACAUAUAAGGGAAGCAGCCUAAAAUCAUGCCUAUCAUUCAAUUCUAUAUUCUGUCAUAUAGCUGUAUAUUGUAACAGUAGCAUAGAUUUAGCCUUACCGUUUCUAAAUUUGAAUCAUAUAGUUGUAUAUUGUAACGGUAGCAUCCUUAUCGUGUAUAUGUUUCUUAAACUAGCUUCUUAAUCACUUUAUAUAAUAGAGUUUCCAUCAAUAAAAUGAGUUGGAAAUUCUUCAUUGAAACUACGACAAUAUUUUUUUCUUUAUAUGGUAUCAGAGCACUGAUCUCAAAUGAGCCAUCGAUCCAAGUUAUCACCAUGCCUUCCUCCUCUGAUCAAACUCCAAACUUUAAUCUCAAUACUCAACUUCCAUCUGCAGUCGAUAAACCCCUAAUUGCUCUCAAUAUCACAACCCAAAUCAAUGAAAAAUUAACUCCCUCCACAUUUUCUCAAUGGUGUGCUCAAUUUGAAGCACUCAUUAUUGGUUACGAUUUACUCAACUAUGUUGAAGGCACCAUUCGGUGCCCUUCCUCUACUGCUACUCCUACUGAUGAGUUGCACAAAACCCAUUGGGUCCGAUAGGAUAAACUUAUCUUGAGUGCUAUUCUAGCCUCCACAUCUUCUUCAAUCACACCACUCAUUGCUACGUCAAAGACCUCCCAUGAAGCUUGGAAAAAAUUAAAACCUCUAUAUGCUACCCGAUCAAGAACACAUGCUAUGCAAUUAAAGGAGGAACUCACCUUAAUCCAGCGAGGAGAUCGGUCGAUUAUAGAAUGCAUCCAUCCUCUAAAGUCCUUGGCCAAUGAAAUAACCAUUAUUGAUCAUUCAAUUUCGGAUGAUGACCUAACCCUUUGUGUGUUGAAUGGCUUAGGUCUAGAUUUUCGAGAGAUUGUUGUGCAUAUCUGAGCUCGAGAAUCAUCACUGGCUUUUGAGGAGUUGCAUGAUCUUUUGGUUGGACACGAGGCAUACUUAUGACGCAUAGGAGUUGCGAUGCAGAACCUAGUUGCUUCUGCAAAUUUCAUAAAGAUGACGAAGUAGUCUCCACAAUGAGGAAGUCACCCGUGGUCUUUCAAGCAAACUAGCUUUCACCAUGAGCCUCGAGGUUCUCAACAAAGCUGCAACUCAAAUGGAGCCCAACGUGAUGGAUGUCGCUCCAACAAUAACUCUAGGCGACCCAACAACUCCAAUUGGUGUUACCAGCCCAAAUGUCAAAUUUAUGACCAAUUGGGCCACACUGCAAAGUUCUGUCCUCAACUCCAUUCAUAGAAUGCCUCCAUCAAUUGUGCUGCAAUCUCUACUGGCAAGGACAAAAAUUGGUUACUUGAUUCGACUAUUUCUCAUAAUAUCACGGGUGAUCUUUCCAACUUAUCUAUUCACUCCGAAUAUGAUGGAAUUGACAAAGUAAUUCUCAGUAAUGGUUCAAGUUUGGUUGUCUCACACAUCGGUUUUUUGGAUUUACACUCCCCUCAUCGAAAUUUUACAUUGCAUGAUACUCUUUGUGUUCCAAAUCUUUGCAGAAAUUUAAUUUCCGUUCAUCAUCUCACCAAACAAAACAAUGUCUUGGUUGAAUUUCACCAUUUUCAUUUUCUUGUGAAGAACAAGAUCACGGGGGCAAUCCUACUAAGAAGAGCAUGUAACAAUGGCAUCUACACUUUUCCGACAUCAAUGGUGGCAUAAAAAAAUAUUGCUAAUGUGCAUGAACACAGAUGGAUGGCACAAGCGUCUUGGGAUUCCUUCUACUAAAAUUGCCCAUCAUCUUGUCAAUAAAUUUUCUCUUCCUAUGUCCUUGAACAAAAAGUUUAUCUUCAUUAUGUUCUUCAUGUUCUAUUAAUAAAGCACAUCAACAACCACUUUGUGUCACUAGUCUCCAAAGUCAUGAGCCACUUGACCUUAUUUACACGGAUGUGUGGGGUCCCGCUAGUUAUACUGGAAUUGAUGGAUCACGAUAUUACCUUAUUUUUGUUGAUCAUUAUACAAAAUAUAUAUGAUUUUAUCCAAUGGUCACAAAAUCCAAUGUUUCUAAUAUUUUCCCGCAUUUCAAAAAGUUUGUUGAAACUUGUUUUUAAAAAUCUAUUAAAACACUUUACUUCAAAAAUGGUGGUGAGUUUAUCGCUUUAAAAUCUUAUUUAUUACUUCAUGGCAUAACUCACUACACCACUGCUCCACACACUCAACAACAAAAUGGUGUCUUUGAACGUUAUCACUGUCAUCUCGUUGAAACGAACCUUACACUUCUUCAUGAUGCAAAUCUUGCUUUCUCAUAUUGGCCCUAUGCUUUUCAAACAACUUCUUAUCUCAUAAAUAAACAACCAAUGCCUUUCCUCCAAGAAAAAAAUACCUUUUGAAGCCCUUUUUGGUCAACCACCCAAUUACUUGAAAUUAAAAAAAUUUGGGUGCAUUUGUUAGCCCCUCACACGAGCCUAUAAUUCAAAUAAAAUGCAGCCCAAAUCCAAAGUCUGCAUUUUUCUCGGUUAUUCACCAACCCAAAACGCAUACAAGUGUUUUGAACCUCAAACAAAAAAUUCUUUCUCUCACGGCAUGUGUUAUUUGAUGAAAAUCUAACAUAUUCCAGUCUAUCCUAAACUGCGUCUUCCAUAACAACCCAACCCACUCGAGAAUCUCACAUUUUUUUUCAUUUUUUCUUCUUCAAUUCUCAGCAGGCUGUCGUGUCUCCAUCACAGUUGUCCGGUACACCUAUCUCAUCGUUGUCUCCGGAAGGUCCGCCUACCAUUGUUGCGUCUUCCUUAGGUGAUUUCGGACCCUCUGCUCCUUUCUUUCAUGAUUGCUUGCAAACCCUAGAUCACAACACCACCCACUUGAAUUUUCCUUUACAUGACACUCAGACUGGUCCUUCUUUAAAUUUGCAAUCACGCUCUCAUGAUCAGCAUCUAGGUCUAGCUAAUACUUCCAAUUUUCCAACCCCUACCGAAACCAAUAAUUUUCCCCAACGCACUCAUACCAUGACCAUAAGAUCAAUGUACCAAAUCUUCAAACCCAAACAACUCCACACUGUGUCAAAAUAUCCUCUCUCCUCGACCAUUGAACCAACCAAUGUGAGCCAAGCCAUUUCUCAACCUCAUUGGCGUGAGGUCAUGUCUAAUGAGCUUACUGCUCUAAUGAAACAUAGGACUUGGGACAUAGUUUUACCACCUUCAAACUGUAAACCCGUGGGUUGUAAAUGGGUAUUUUGAGUAAAAAGAAAAGCUGAUGGGUCAGUGGACAGGUUCAAAGUCUGUCUAGUUGCUAAGGGCUAUAAUCAACGUCUUGGUGUUGAUUACAAAGACACUUUUAGUCUUGUCAUCAAACCAACAACUAUUAGAUUUGUCCUAUCUAUUGUAGUCAUGAAUGGAUGGGUUUUGAGGCAACUGAAUAUCAACAAUGCUUUUCUAAAUGGUGAAUUAUCUGAGACUGUGUUUAUGGCAUAACCCCCAGGGUUCAAAGAUUUGUCCAAACCUAAUCAUGUUUGCAAGUUAAAAAAAUGCCAUCUAUGGGCUUAAAUAAGCCCCGCGAGCUUGGUACACAAUGCUAAAAAAUGCCAUUCUUCAGUUGGGUUUUCAUAAUUCCAAAGUGGAUUCCUCUCUCUUCAUUUACAACCAUGGUUCCAAUCUUUAUUAUUUCUACAGGGAAUAAUUUCAUACUUAUGGCCACUAUUAUGAAGCAGCUGGGUGACAUGUUUUCUCUCAAAGAUAUGGGUUCUCUUCAUUUUUUCUUAGGAAUUGAAGUAAUUCCUACUCGGGCAGGAUUAUUCCUCUCACAACAUAAAUAUGUUCAUGAACUUUUAGCCCACACCAGUAUGAGUAGUGCAAAAGAUGUCUCCAUACCUCUCUCUACCACUCAAUCUCUUCAACUGGUUGAUGGCAUUGUUGCUGUGGACAACUCAGAGUUCUGUAAAAUCAUUGGCAGCCUUCAAUACCUUUCUUUGACGCAUCCAGAUAUCUCAUUUGCAGUAAAAAAAACUCUCGCAAUUUAUGCACAAGCCGACUACAAAUCACUGGACAGAAACCAAACGACUCAUUCGAUACUUAAAACAAACCAUUUUUUUAUGGUAUUCAAAUCAACAAAGCUGGAACUCCAGUAUUAAGAACAUACUCAGAUGUAGAUUGGGCUGGAAAUGUGGACGACUGCACGUCCACCUCUGCUUCUAUCAAUUUUUUGGGAUCUAACCAAAUUUCUUGGAGCUCAAAGAAACAAAGAGCAGUUGCAAGAUCCUCAAUAGAAGUUGAAUACCGAGACUAGCAACUGCGGCUUCCGAGACAAUGUGGAUGUCUACUCUCUUCAAAGAACUAGCAUUUCCAAUCAAAGAAUCUCCCCAAUUGUUAUGUGACAACCUUGGAGCCACACAUCUCAGUUUUAACUCGGUUAAUCAUUCACGCAUGAAACACAUUCAAAUUGACCUUCACUUUGUGCGUGACUUAGUGCAAAAAGGAAGCAUCCAAGUCAGCCAUGUACAUACUCAAGACCAAUUAGCUUAUCUGUUAGCAAAGUCGUUGUCCAAACAACGCACAGAAUUGUUACGCAACAACAUUGUCCUUACCGAUGGAAGCCCUAUCUUGCAGGGGUGUAUAAGGGAAACAUCCUAAAAUCAUGCCUAUCAUUCAAUUCUAUAUUCUGUCAUAUAGUUGUAUAUUGUAACAGUAGCAUCCUUACCGUGUAUAAGUUUCCUAAACUAGCUUCUCAAUCACUCUAUAUAACAGAGUUUCUAUCAAUAAAAUGAGUGGGAAAUUCUUCAUUGAAACUACGACAAUAUUUGUUUCUCUAUAAGAGAAACGGUGACACCAAUAUUUUAGCAUGGAAAACCUAAAAAAAGGAGAAAAAACCAUAGACCUCUAGCGAUCAAAUCAUUCACCAUGAAGAAAAUUAACUAAGUACAAGGAUUUACCUAACCCAAACUUUCAAUCCUCUCUUGGUCCACUUGCCUAAAAUCUUCAGACUUUAGCAACCCACUUUCUUCUUCUAGAACACACUUCAAAUCCAUACUAAGUUUGAUCUUGACCUCUUCUUAAAUCCACAUAAGAAGAUAUUUGAGUUUUUACCCCAAAUAAGAUGAAUAUAAGCGUAAAGAUGAAACUCACACUGAAUCAACCUAUUUUGAAAGAAAUUUUUUCACUUAAAAAUGAAUUUCAACUCAAACCCAUAAAAUUUUCAUUCAAACCAAACACCUCAAAAACAGGUAAAAGAAUAUGAAGCUCAAGAGAGGCCACCUAUCUCUUUCAGCCCGCCCUUCCUCUUAUAGAAAUAGAGCUUAAAUAUUAGGGUUUUAAAACCCAUUAAACGGAUGAGAUUUGUUUGGAAAAUAAUGAAGAUUCAUAGUGUGAUCGAAACCUGAUCACAAGACUGAAAAAAUCUGGGUUCAACAAAAACUGUUACCCUUCAGUUUUAUGUUGUGGUUGAGUACUACUCGAUAAUAGUGAGUGAUAUCAUUUAUGGAGGACCAUCACAUGAUGGUCCAAAUGAGAAGUAGAUAUGAUACUAAAAAUUGAUGUAAGGUAAUGUCCCGUCCCAAGACCCACUCCAAGGGCAUGAAGGUCAUUUCACACCUCAAACCCAAAGGCUUAAAGUGUAACCUGACCCAAACAAUUAUCUUAUAACUGGAAGUUACCAAUUACCAAAUACCUGUUUAGAGUAGCAAAAUAAAAUUCUAAAAUCUUCAAAACUUAACUUUAAAACUAAGCAUCCAUCAACCAAAAUCCAUUUUCCAAAUAAAUUGCAAACUCAAACAAUUCAAGUGCUAACAAAAAUUUUCAUAAUCUCCAAAUCUCAACUUCAAACUAUCAAAAAAAAUUUAAAAGUUCAAUAUCUAAAUAGCUUCCAAAAACCAAAUAAUCCAAAUGAACAUAAACUUAUAAGCUAACAAUGUCCAAAAAUAACAUCCUAAGCAAAAUCCUAAUGAUGACCAUUCCCCGACCUAGCCAUCACUCAUCGCCCGAACUAAGUGUACCUGAAAAAUUAUCAACAAAAGAGAAUGAGCUCAAAGCCCAAUAAGGAACAUUAUUAUAGUCCAUGGAUCAAAUAUUUCAAGUUCACUUGUAAAAUAGGAGAUAUUAUAACUAAUUAUUUUCAUAAACCUUUGAGUCAGUUUUGUCAAUACAUUCAAAACUUUUAAUUGAACACUUUCAUUUCUGAUUCAAACAUUUUCAUAUCAAAUUCAGUCAAAACAUUCAAAUCAUUUAUUUACUUUGGUCAUCAAACAUUAAAUGAUGUCCAAUUAGGUGAGACUUUUCAAAUAAGUGGCUAGCCUCAAAUUGUUCAUUUAAGGUGGACGAAACCAAACACUACUAGUACUAGUAACCUCUAACCAAACCCCUAGAGGUUGGGGUCCAAAUCAAUUACAUUCCCCACCAAGAAAUGUAAAUGUCAACUAUUAUAUUUCGUCGACAAGGGUCAAACAAACCAAAAUCAAACACUUAUUUCAAUUAUUCAAAUUUGCAAAACAUAAUAUCUCCAUAUUUCUCUGUUGUGAACAAAAUGUAAGGUUCUAACAUACUUUUCAUGCAAAACAUAUUUGAUUCAUGCAUAAAACGAAUAAUAACUCAAAGCGUUUCCAAAUGAUGUAUAUAAAAAUUUGUUUCUAAAAAAAAAAAAAAACCUGCAUUAAUUUCCCUUACCUCAAAAGAAGUCUUCAAAAACUUAGGAGAAAAAUAAUUCUUAAAAAUCUACUCCUCACCUAACAAAGUAUAAGAGAAAUAACCAUUAUUAUUUAUCUAAAAUUAUAGGUUUGACAAUCCUAAAAGGUAUUCAAAUUAAUGUUUUUAAUUAUAAAAGAUAAUUUAAUCUAUUCCUAUUUUAGAAAAAUUAAUAAAUUUCUAAUUCAUAUAAAACUUAAAUUUUAUUUUCAAUUUAUUUCUUAGGAUACAACAUAAUUUAAUUAAACUACAAUUUAUUCUACUAAUUAAAUUUUAUGCCACUUAUUAACUUACACUCAUCAUUAGUAUAAUAAUAUUGAUAACUUCUAUUCUCUUUCUUUCAAUUUUUUUUUUCCACUAAACAUAAAUUGUAACCCUAACAAUUCUCCAUUAUUGCUAACAUAAUAAUGUAAAGAUAUUUAUUAACCACCAAACACCAUCCGUACACAUCUUCCUUUAUUAUUAAUAUUACUAUUUUUUUUCUUUUAAAAAAAAUAAAAAAUUCCUCCAGUGCAAGUGUGUUCUUUUUUUUUCCCCUAAUGUUUUCUAAUCCCUUAACCCACAUAUAAUAAUAUAUUUAUUUACUCAUUUAUUUAUUUAUUUUUAAAAAAAUCAUUACUUAGAUCUAUUCAUCUAAAAAAUUUUGAAUUUCCCUUAUUUCAACAAUAGAACAAUCUAUAUUCCCAAUUUCAAUAUUUUGACCUAAAAGUUUUAAAUAGGUUAAGUCUAGCCUAAAUUGAAAUCUUUCAAAGAAAUUUUUUUUUUUUUCAAAAACUUAAGAUUUCCCAAUUUUUAAUAAUAAAACCACCAAUAAUCCUAAAUUUCUAAUAUUUUGAUAUUAAAACGAAUUAAAAAAAAAACUAACCCUAAUCUAAAUUAAAAAAAUAAAAUUCAAAGAAUAACUAACGUGUUUAGAACUAACUAUUGAAUAUAAUAUAUUAAUUUAAGAUUAGAAUCUUACCUAGAAAAAAAACCUGAAUUUCAACUUUAAAUCUCUAACCCUUGAGCCCUACGAACUCCAAUUCUCUACUUCUAGUUAAUAGGGUUUUCUGAACGAAGAAGAAAAGAGGAAAAAUCCAAUUUAUACCUAGGAUUUUUAAUUGUAAAAUGACUCUUUCACCCUCAAUGAAUUUAAUUAAUUAUUUAAUUACUUUAUAAAUUACUAGUUUGCCCCUAGAUUAAAUUUUGGGGUGUUACAGGUAAUCAAGUAAAAGUUAACGAGUUGGAUCGAAACAGGUUCUGACUUUCUGUAGCUGCAUUUAGAAAUGAAGGUUUUACAGGUAAAGAUGUUUCAGACACUUCUUCACCAAAACCCAUGUGUAAAAGGAACAGAUUGAACCGAAAGCUACUUCAUUAUGGUUUUGUGGAGAGUUGCUUUUCUUGAGAAGUUCUAUAUAGGCUUUCAGUUACUUGUGACCUAUUGUGCUUCAAAUCAAUCAAUUUGAUUUUCGUGCCAGAAUGAAAGCAUUGAUUAUACUAGAAGUUCAUGUUCAAGUUUAAAGUAAAGUAAAUAUGCGAAGACUGUUUUUUGUUAUCAAACCUAAUUCCCUUUUUUUUCCUCCAUUUUUUUUUUUCUCAGCUUCUGAGUUCAUGAAAUUACAGUUACAUGGAAUUUGGCCCACAGGAAAUCUCUUUUAGAAAAUCUUAUCCGGUUUACUUCACAAUUUUUUUUUUAAAUGUGAAAAUUAAGAACAAUUGCAUGCUGUUGAUCAAGACAUCCAUGUUUAGCAAUUCAUCCUCUCAUUGAAAUAAAUGUAAAUGUUCCAUUUAUUUAAAAGUUUGCGAAUCUUAAGUAGAUGGCAAACAGAUCAAUAAGGUCCAAUAACAGAACAAAUUAAUGGCUAGUAUAUACUGAAAGAGAACUCAAGGGUAUAAAAUAAAAACAAAAUGAUCCAAACUGCAAAGCAUCAUGGCCAUGGCAAGGUCCUUAUUGUUGAACUGGAUGUCUUUCUUUGAUGUUAAUAGUCGUUGUACCCCCAAAAGAUCUUCCUGUUCCUUCUGAUAUCAAUUAUUCAUUCUAUCUAUCCUAUAAUCUGCACGGAAAACAGAGGAAUGUUAAAUACUGUAUGAAUGAUGAAAAUGAGAAAUGUGGUCUGUAUUAUUAUAUAUACUUACAUGAAACUAGAAGAGGCAAUUCAUUUAGUAAUAUGGUGGAGGAGGUGAAGGAGAGGAAGGGGGUGGUGACUUGUGGUGGUAGACUGGUGGUUGGGAUGAUGGAGAAGGUAGUGGUGGGGACUUAUAGUAAUAAGGAGGUUGAGGAGAUGGUGAUGGAGGAGGAGGUAAUUUAUAGUCGUAGUGAGGAGGGGGUGAUGGUGAAGGUAGUGGUGGUGACUUGUAGUAAUACCACGGAGGAAGAGAUGGAGAGGGAGCCAGAGGUGACAUCGGUGGUAGUGAUUUAUAGUAAUAAGGAGGCAGUGAUGAUGGAAAAGGUGGGAGCGGUGGCAGUGAUGAUGGAAAAGGUGGGAGCGGUGGCCGUGAUUUAUAGUAAUAAGGAGGUAGUGAUGAUGGAAAAGGUGGGGAUGCAAAAGUAUUAGGAUUGUGAGGCUCGUCUUCAGCAGCUACAUUAGCAGCAAUCAAGCACAAAGCCAAGGCACAAAUCAGGUGAGGCCAAAAAUUGGCCAUUUCCGGAACACGAGAAAAUUUCACUCCUGCAACUCAAGAACUUCUAUUUCUUAGAACAGAAGGGAUUUUGUGAAUGAUGCUUCAAGCUAGAGGCUCAGAGUUUAUAUAGUCAUCCUUUCCAUAAUUCUUUCAUUUGUUUAAUUAAUAGUCGUUGAAGCCUCCAAUCUUUAACAAGUCUACAACUAAAUGGUAUUCCCCUAUUUUCUAUCUGUUACCUGCACAUCUGUCCAUGAAAAGUCAAGAAGAAUAGUAAACAUAUAUACAAGAGUACAUUUCAGUUUUGGUUGUCGGGAGCCUAGAAGCUUCCCCAUAUAUUAUGUCAAAUGUGACUGCCAUUUUUAAGAAUUUUCCAUGGAAAACUCAACAUAAAAUAUUACUAUGAAGCAUAAAUAUUUUAUGAUCAUUUCAUGUCUACCAAGCAAAAAGCUAGGGUUAUUAGAUCUGCUUCUACCAUAACUUCCUGUUUUUCGAAAAUUUGUCAUACAUUGAAACCUUUUUCAAAACAACAAAAAGGUUUAAUAUUACAAAUAAUUUACGGGUAUUAAUUGGGAAGGUAAUGCACUAAUAAACCUAAAUUCAAUGCCGAAUUUUCUAGAAAGGAAUCGUUGUCUUUCAAUAACUUCUUAAGCUAGCUAUUUAAUAUUAUAGGAUGACCAGGUCAUGAAUGAGAUCAUCAUAUGCAUUUUUAAUAACAAUUCAUUUUUUUCCUUCCUUCUCUUGUUGUGAAAGUAAUUUCCAAAGAAGAAAAUUGUGAGAUUAGGUAUGAAACAUUCAAAGGCAUUUGCAUUAGUUUAAUGCCACUCUGCGUAAAUAUUUGAAUAUGCACUUAUAAUAUUAUUUUAAGAAUAUAUUGUAUUUUUUAUGUUAAUUUGGAUAUAUAAAAGCUUCUUUGCAUGUACCACCGGCAAGACAAUUGGUAUCAAUUUGAAUACGACUUUUUAAAAAAAUAAAAAAUAAAGAACUUCUGUAUAAAAAUAUAACAUCUUAAACAAAAAAAUAUAAAUUUAUUUUACAUAUUUAAAAAUCACUUUUUAAAAUUUUAAAUAGGAAAAAAAAUUGUACUAUUUUUCUCAAGAAAAUCUUUUAGUAUUUUCUCUCACAUCUUUUUCUUAAUAUUUCUUUUUACCUCCAAAUAUUUUUAAACAAAAAAAAUCUUUUCCUUAACUUUUUUUUCUUGGUAUUUUACUUUUCACUAACCAAACCUAACCUAUAUUUUAUGUGUGGUACAAUAAUUUAUUUUAUUGAAAAGCAAAUUUUUAUUUUACAUGAGUUAAAAAAUAAAUAAAUUAAAUUAAAUUAUUUUUCAAAAUUAAUUAUAUAUAUAGUCAAGGUGGGAAAGCAAUACCCAAACCUACCCCAAACCUAUCUAGGUUUGAAAAAAGUCUCAAACUUAUCUCUAACCCAUUUAUUUUAAUUACAAACAUGUCCCAUUUGUAAGGCAAGUACCCAAAAAAGUUCAUGUCAUUGUCAUUCAUACUAAUAUCUAAUAACCUAUAUGGUUUGUGUGUUACGACACUAUAAAGCAUUGCAAACAUAUUUUGUUAACUUAAUAUGUGUUAAUAUUGAAGGAAAAAUAAAGUUAAGAAAAAUGAUGUUCUUAUGUUUGGAUAGCAUAGAAAAAGGUUUGAAAGAUAUAUACAUGGAGAAAAGAGGGAGAAAAUUGCUAAAAGAGUUUCUCUUCAUUUUCCUUAAAAACAAUGGGGAAAGUUUGGGGAUAACAUGGUGUCUCAAUAAUUUAAUUUUCUUUCCUCUUGCCUCUAUUUCUAUGUGGAUGCAUGUGAACAAGAUUUUAAAAAUAUCUCUUAUUUGUAGCAUAUGAUUUUUUGAAGCUUUAUAAUAGUCGUAACUUUUUAAUAAUGUCAACUGCAACAAGGUUGUCACAAUUUUGAUUCAUUCAGAAACGAUUUCUAUUACUACCAUUUGGAAGUCUUGAACUUGUUCUAUAAAAACCAACUAGUUGUGAAAGGUGAAUCUCAAUGAUAGAACACACCUAGCGAGGAGUGAAUAGGUGUUUCUGUCCAAUUUAAAGGUCUCCCAACACAAGUUAACUAACCUUAACAAUUUUUACAAUUUUUCCUUCUCUUUACAAACACUUAAAAACACAAAUUAGAAAUCACAUGCAAAUAUGAAUGCAACAACACUACUCAACAAGAAUAAAAUGCAAUUCACAUGUAGAUGUUCCAACACUCCCCAAACCAAAACCUUAAAACAAUAUUUUUAUUAAUAACAAGAGUAAAAAAAUCUCAAAUAUGCAUAUGAACAAUAUGCAAAAACAAUAUUAAAAGUAACUCAUAUCUAUUUUUCCUCAACAUUCAACCAAAAAUUAGAUGUCCAAAUUAUCAAAGAUAGCUAAAACUGAAAAUGAAAUAAAAAGGAGAAUGAGAGACAAUGAGACAACACCAAAAUUUACAUGGAAAACCUCCUAGGAGGUCAAAAACUAUAGGCCUACAACCGAUCAAAAAUUCCAUUAUGAAGAGCAAUCAAGGUGUACAAGGAUUUAUCUUGCUCAAGAUCUCCAAUCCCUCAUGAACUACUUGACAAACACCUUCUCACCUCUCAACCCCACCUUCAUCUUCAGGAACAUGCUUGGAGUCCUUCCCAAGCUUGAACUCGACCUUCUCCUUGAAGUUCCAUUAAGAAGAAAAUGGGUUUUCACCCAAACCAAAAUGAAUGAGAGAUGAAUGUUCAAAUAACUCAACCCAUUUUUCUUUUCAAAAAAUUCAUUAAUUUUUUUUUUUUUUUGAAGAUUUGAACAAGAUUUUCAUGAAAAGCAAACAACCUUUAAAAAGGGAAGGGAAUGAAGAGCUCAUUCACAAUUGUUGCUCUCUCUGCUUUCCGAAAAUGAGAGAAUUAUGAUUUUAAAGGGAAAUGAAACCCUUAAUCUAAUGGUUGAAAAAAAAUCUCAAAAAGAAAUAAUUUGGAUCAAUCUGCCCUUGCACUUGGAUGGAUCCAAAAACAAGGGAACAUAAACCUUUUAGCAAAUAUAUUUUUCCCAUGCUUCCCUAACUCUUUUAAAAUGAUUCAAUACAAUCAACAUUUUGAAAAUGGGGUUGAUUCAAAUUCAUUUAACCACAAACUCGGCUACUUACCUUGGCCUCUUAGCAAAUCUAAAGUCUUGAUCUUCAAAGUCAAGUAGUCCAACAACGGAUUUAGAGAACCAUAGCUAGUAGACACUUAGGUAUAUUGUUCAAAAUUGCCAACCUAACUACAACACUCACAAGUUGGAUACUUCUCUGCAUUUGCUUCCUCAAUAUCAUAUCAAUAAUGUCAAUUGUAUUCUCUUUAAGUAUAUUCAAGCCCUUCUAAGCUUGACAACCUAAAAACUAAUGUAGCAGACUUCUCUUGAGUUGUCACCUCCAUGAUAGAAUAGUUCAAUGGAUUCUCUAUAUAGCUAUCUUAUACCAAUCUACACAAAUGGAAGAGUUCAAAACUACUCUAUAAGAUAACAAUCUUCUUUUGGCAAAAAAGAAACUAAGAAAGAAGAAAGAAGAAAAUUAACAAAUAAAAAAAUAUAUGAUACAAUGGAGUACUCUACUAACUAUAGGUAAGUUAUAUAUGUAAGGAUUAAAAUAUUAGGAAAGGAGUUUUAUAAAUGCAUCCACCUAGACUCUCUUUACAUUCAACCUUUUAAUGUAAUUUUUUAAGACAUGAAUGUCCCUUGGUGAAAUCCCCAAAGUACCCUUUAGUACCAAAAAAAAAUGAAACCCAUGGCGUAUGUCCAACACUCAAGGAUCGAACAUAACUGAGAUGUUUGGAAUUGAAAUAUUAGACAUUUCAGUUAUAUUUGGCCUUUUGGGACUGAACACCAUGGGUUUGAAUUUGAAUUUUUUUUUAUUUCUUCAUUUACAUUACAGUUUUUCACAAUUUCUCACUUCUACAUCAUACUUAUAUUCUUCCUAAUUGUUUUUCAACCAUUUUUACAAGAAGUUUUUUUGUCAAAAAUUAUAUAUAAAUAAGUUUUAAAAGAUUUUCAUGUUCUAUGUUAUAUGAAUUCAAACAAAAACAAAAUGAAAUGAGUUAUGAACAUAGCUACGAUAAUCUUCUUAUAUCAAAUAAACUUCAAACAAGAUGAUUUGUAACUAGGAUUUCUGGUUGGGAAGAAAUGGGUUUAGAAAUAAAGGAAGAAGAAAAUGGAUUUAGGGAGAAAAUAAUAAGAAGAGUGUUUUUGGUUUUUUAAAUUUGUAGGAUGGAUGUAUUUAAAAGUUUUUAAAUUUUUAGGUGAAUGUAUGAAUACAGUGGAUGCAAAGAGAGUUUAGACGAAUGUAUUUAUAAUUUCCCUAUUAUGAAUUAGAAAAAUACAAGGUUGUAUUUUACGAAAAUAUUAAAAAUAUUGGAGAGGAAAAUUUGGAAAAAAAAAUGAUGAAACAUAAAUAAAUUAAUCAAAACUCAAAAAUGUUAGGGAAAAUAUACAAUGAGGAAUAUAUAUACAUAUAUAUAAUAAAGGGAUUCCAGUAACCUCCAUCUACAUGACUGACAUCCAUAUAUAUGUCCAAGAAGAAGUCAAGAUGACCAAUGCCAGAUAUGAAGAGAAACCUUCUCAUCUAUCCAUGAAAAGGAAUGCUAACUAGGAUCUGCUGCCCUUCAUUUUAAAAUAGGAAGAAGAUUAGUUGGAAGCAAAAGGAUCAGCGACCGCAUUAACAAUGAGAUUCACUUCAUAGUCAAUGACCAUCAAUCCGUUUAUUAAUUAAUUUACUUCAACCAAUAUGUUUAAUUAUUUUAUUUUGAUUAGUUAAGCAAUACAAUUUGAUUAUUCCCAUUUCCUCCCAUUUUUCCUUUUUAUAUAUAUUUUCCAUAGACUUUUCCAUUAAUACGAAAAAACUUUCUAGAACAUCAGCCAAUUUUCCUUUUUUAUAUAUUUUCCAUAGACUUUCCCAUUAACACGAAAAACCUUUCUAGAACAUCAGCCAAUUACUAGAAGUUCCGUUUUGUCAGUCAAUGUUAUUGGUACGACUAGUUGGAACUUGAAAAAUAUGCAAUGCAGAACCCAAUUUGAAUACGUAUAGCUUAUUAUUAUAUUUUUAGUGAAAAGUCUUGUGAUAAUGAUUUUAAGAAAUAUUUUUUAUUUUUAUAACACUUAAAAAAUUUAUCUUUUUAGAGUGCAUUUAAGAGUGAUUUUAGAAAAUAUUUCUAAUAUUUUUAACAUUUAAAUAAUAAAAAAUUUCAAGUGUUAGAAAUAUUAAAAGCGUUCUCUAAAAUCAUUGUCAAACGGGUUCUAAGUAUUAAAAAAGUUAAAAACGUUUCUUAAAAUCAAUGAGAAACAUACUCUUAUUUUUUUUAAAAAUGGGUUUUCAAACCAAGACCCAAUAUAUAAAUGCCUUUAAAAUGUUACUUGUGGAAAUGGUGUGGUUAGGUAUGCUACAUUCAAAGACAGAAUAGUUUUUCUGUUUUACUUUUGUCCUCUCUUUCUCUAGGAAGGAAUUAAGGCACCAUUUUUGUCUUAAUAAUAUAAUUCCAUUAUAUGUAUAUAUACACCAUACGUCGAGUGACUCAGUCACUCAGCCACACAGGCAACUCGACCUUCAAACAUACGAGGAUUGUCCAACAUCACAACUAGGUCUUCUACCUCAAACUUCAUUCUUAAAUAAUUGGAAACCUUUGGCCUUCAAACGUAUAAGCUAGCUAGACUUUUGUUAAAUAUAGUAUGUAGUUUGUUAGACUACUUAUUGUACUACUUCAUGAAUAAGUUAAAAAUUGUUUUCGGAAUCUAAAAAUUUUCUAUAGGAAAGCAUUAGCUAGGUUGCUUAGAAAUGUUUGCAUUUAGGAGUCUGAAAUAAUGUUAUAGGUAUGUCAUCAUUAUGUGACUGUAGAGAUUAGAAAGAUAAUAUAAUUAAAUUGAAGGUGUAUUUUUCUCUGUAUUUUCCUUCAAAGAUCUGCAUUCCUUUCUUAUAAAACAAAAGUGUUGUUUGUUUUUGGAAAGGGAAUAAUUAAUUUUCUUCUCUGUGAGUGUUCAAAAAUUGUAUAUAGAAACAAAACUUAGAAUAUGCAUGCAUGUCCCUUCCAUUCAGUCUUAAAUUCUUAAAAGUAUAUUCCAGCCAACAAUAGUCUAUUAUUGAAUUCAUAUGAUCUGAUGGUACCUAGCUAUUUUGGGAAAGUACCAAAGUCAUUGAAUGAAUAAGUAGUCAAUCCCUGAAAUGGACUAUGUAAUGAAUUUUAUCCGUGGGUAUUUUACCAAAGGUUUAUAUUAUAUCAAUCUACCCUUGCAUGAUUCCUAUUAAAGCAUAUACUCAGGAGGUGAGUGCAGAGCAGGAUGAUCUCAAAACGGACUCCCCAUUCAUUGGAUAGAGAAAAACACCAAGAUUUCGUGAUCGAAAAUCUUGGAUCUAUAUAUAUAUAUUAUCGGAUAUAACUCAUUUCUCUCUAAAUUUAGAUGUUGGUUCAAUACAUUUUAAAUUUUUUGGUAUUAGAAAAACUAUUUUUAAAAAAUUGAGGACUAGUCCCGUUAAAUUUUAUUGGAUUGAACCAAGAAUAACUGAAAAAAUUAAUUUGGAGUUGUAUCUGGGAAAGUUUUAGCUAAAGAAAGGCACUGAAUGCAUAUGAGCUGGUGAAGGUUAAGAGCUUAAGAAACCUUCCCACGUUAGACACUCCAUAUAUAAAAAGAAGCACAUUCUAGAUUAAGAAGUGUAGUUGGAAAAGGUUACUGAGGAAGGCACUCAAGAGGUGAAAGCGACUGUUUUAAGGAAGAACAUCAUACUUCUUAUUUUAACUAUGAGUUACUUGACUCCAAAAAAUGAGACGAGAAAGUGAAUGAGGAUUAAAAGGAAAGUUAACUUCACUAGUAUCUAUAUUAAUAAUUUUGUUCCUGGAUGCUGCUGCUUCAUGUCCAAAGUUUGAUCAUCUCUCUCAAACAACAUGCAGUUUCUCUUAAUUAAUCCGGUCUACAUAUGCCCAUCGAAUGGGUUCAUUUUAUUUCCAAAUCUGAGGCAAAUGGACGAGUAUAUGUUCUAACCAACAGUAAACAAAUGGAAUAUUGUAGACAUUAUGAACAUAGAAUUGAAAGCACGCAAAACAGGCUGCAGGAGAAGCACCAUCCCUCCAUGUCAUGCCCCCUUAUUCUUAAACCAGUUGUCUUCUUUGAGGUGAAGUAGCCGAGGAUGGGACUCCAGGAAAACAACUGAUUCCCCUUUUUGUACCAUUUAUUCUUUCUAAUAAAGCAUGAACUGCAAAACAGAAUAAGAUUGGUUGAUCAUACAAAUGACAUUAAUGAAAAGUAAAUAAGCUGCAAUCAGUACAAUGUAUUUCGUACUUACAUACAACUAGUAGAGAUAGCGUCUUGUUUAGUAGUAUGUGGGAGGAGGUGGUGGUGAUGAGUAGUAGUACAUUGGAGGUGGAGGUGAUGGUGGAGGAGGGGACUUGUAAUAAUACGGUGGAGGAGGUGAUGGGGAUGGUGGAGGNNNNNNNNNNNNNNNNNNNNNNNNNNNNNNNNNNNNNNNNNNNNNNNNNNNNNNNNNNNNNNNNNNNNNNNNNNNNNNNNNNNNNNNNNNNNNNNNNNNNUGGGGGAGGUGGUGACUGGUAGUAGUAAGGAGGCGGAGGUGGGGACAGGUAGUAAUAAGGAGGUGGAGGUGGGGAUUUGUAAAUAUAGGGAGAAGGAGGUGGUGACUGAUAGUAGUAAGGAGAAGGUGGUGGUGGAGAUUUAUAAUAGUAAGGAGGAGGCGGUGAGGGAGAUGGAGGAGGUGGGGAUUUGUAAUAAUAUGGAGGUGGUGGUGGUGACUUGUAGUAAUACGGGGAAG